rnacentral:rRNA from 1 species
UACGUAGGGCGCAAGCGUUAUCCGGAAUUAUUGGGCGUAAAGAGCUCGUAGGCGGUUUGUCGCGUCUGCCGUGAAAGUCCGGGGCUCAACUCCGGAUCUGCGGUGGGUAUGGGCAGACUAGAGUGAUGUAGGGGAGACUGGAAUUCCUGGUGUAGCGGUGAAAUGCGCAGAUAUCAGGAGGAACACCGGUGGCGAAGGCGGUUCUCUGGGCCUUACCUGACACUGAGGAGCGAAAGCGUGGGGAGCGAACAGG